GUGCUUGCUUCAGCAGCACCUAUACUAAAAUUAGAAUGAUAAGAGAAGAUUACCAUGGUUCCCGGGCAAGGAUGACAUGCAAAUUCAUGAAGCGUUCUGUAUUUUU
ensembl:snRNA U6 U6 spliceosomal RNA